CUACGGGGCGCUCCAGUGAGGAAUAUUGCACAAUGGGGGGAACCCUGAUGCAGCAACGCCGCGUGGAGGAUGACGCAUUUCGGUGUGUAAACUCCUUUUAUAUGUCAAGAAAAUGACGGUAGCAUAUGAAUAAGCACCGGCUAACUCCGUGCCAGCAGCCGCGGUAAUCCGGAGGGUGCAGAGCGUUACUCGGAAUCACUGGGCGUAGAGGACGCGUAGGCGGGUUGGAAAGUCAGGUGUGAAAUCCUACAGCUUAACUGUAGAACUGCACUUGAAACUUCUAAUCUAGAGUAUGGGAGGGGGAGAUGGAAUUAGUGGUGUAGGGGUAAAAUCCGUAGAUAUCACUAGGAAUACCUAAAGCGAAGGCGAUCUCCUGGAACAUUACUGACGCUAAGGCGUGAAAGCGUGGGGAGCAAACAGGAUUAGAUACCCCGGUAGUC
rnacentral:rRNA from 1 species